GAAAGCUAGGGGAGCGAAUGGGAUUAGAUACCCCAGUAGUCCUAGCCGUAAACGAUGGAUACUAGGCAUUAUGCGUAUCGACCCGUGCGAAAUCAAGAAGAAAAAGAAUCU
rnacentral:ncRNA from 1 species